rnacentral:pre_miRNA from 1 species
UCUUCAUUUCACGUGCUCUCUCACCGGUCAGAGUGACGAGAGAGUGUGUGAAAUGAAUAGA